AUUUAUUUCUUUUGGCAUCUAAUUUGCACAUUAGUAGAGGCAAAAUGGAUUCUACAAAUAUUGGGAAGAAAUCAGGAAGAUCUGUGCAAUUCACUCAAACACAGAAUGAAAUUCUAGUUGACUUAGUAAUGCAGAAUUAUGAAGACAUAUUUGGAUAUCAUUCAAGAACUGUACCUGCACAAAGAAAGUGAAAUAUUUAGUCAAAUAUCAGCAAUGCGGUUUCUGCAGAGGGAGAAUUUCCAAACGAUGCAAAAGCAUGCAAAAAGAGAAUUGCUGACAUUAGACGUCAAAUAAAAAAUAAAAUUAGUAAAGAAAAGCAAUCUGCUAAAAAAAAAACGGUGGUGGAAUGGGUUUCGCUGCUGAUUUAACCCACUACGAAUGGCAAAUGUAUGAGAGGAUGGGUAAUGCCGUCAUUGUCCGCAUUGAUUAGAGGUAAUACAAUUUUUUAUUAUUAGUCCUUUGGUGUAUCUUGAUAUAAAAUUUAAGCAUGUGCCACCCAUGUAUUACAUUAUAAAAAUAUUGAAUUUAAUGUAUUUUUAUAUAUUUUUUAAGACGCAAAUCAUACAGGUGAAUUAAUUAAAGUCAAUCAUGAGGGGGAGCUAGAAACAGCAGAAUCACCAAACUCAGAAUGUGUUGAAGAGCCAUGAUGCAGCACAUUGAGGACACAAAAGAUAACAUUGAUGUCUGUGCUUUGUUGUCAAGUAUGCACGAAACAUCGCUACCAUUGUUUGAAGAUAAUCCAGAAGAGAAUUGUGAGAUUCAUCUGGAAACACUUAUGAUGAUGCCACCCAAAUAGGGACACCAAUUGUGGCUAUUUCUGCACCCCCAGCAAAAGACAUGGGCAGAGAACAUGCAUUACAUACAAAUGCUAAUCACAUUAGCAGAAGACUAGAGCUAGAAUCUAUUAAUGAAAUGGCUUCAACUUACAGACUAGAACAAAAAGUAUAUUAUGACAGAAAAUUGGUAAUCAAAGGAGAAAGAAACACUCUAUUGAAGGAAAAAAAUGAUCUAUUGAGGGGCAUACAAGAUCUAUUGCGGGACAAAAAUGAUGUAUCAAGGGGCCAAAAUGAGCUCUUGAUCAAAAACAAUGAAUUAUUGUGUGACCUUGUAAAGAAAAUGCAUAAACUCAUAUAUACUAACCAGUGCGAUUAAUAUAAUACUGGUGUACAUAAAAUAUUAAACUAUUCAGUAUGAUUAAUAAAAUGAACAGUUUUUCAGUUUUUAUGACAAAUUUAUUUUCAUAUAAUGUUUGCUUUUUAUUUUACUGAGAGUGCAUGUUCCAUAAAAAUUAAGGAAAUGACAUGA